rnacentral:tRNA from 1 species
AGCGAGAUACCUGAAAUAAGGCCCUACUGUGAUAAGGUAGACCGUGUACCAUAGUACUCUCACUG